GAUGAACGCUGGCGGCGUGCCUAAUACAUGCAAGUCGAGCGAACGGACGAGAAGCUUGCUUUUCUGAUGUUAGCGGCGGACGGGUGAGUAACACGUGGAUAACCUACCUAUAAGACUGGGAUAACUUCGGGAAACCGGAGCUAAUACCGGAUAAUAUUUUGAACCGCAUGGUUUAAAAGUGAAAGACGGUCUUGCUGUCACUUAUAGAUGGAUCCGCGCUGCAUUAGCUAGUUGGUAAGGUAAAGGCUUACCAAGGCAACGAUGCAUAGCCGACCUGAGAGGGUGAUCGGCCACACUGGAACUGAGACACGGUCCAGACUCCUACGGGAGGCAGCAGUAGGGAAUCUUCCGCAAUGGGCGAAAGCCUGACGGAGCAACGCCGCGUGAGUGAUGAAGGUCUUCGGAUCGUAAAACUCUGUUAUUAGGGAAGAACAUAUGUGUAAGUAACUGUGCACAUCUUGACGGUACCUAAUCAGAAAGCCACGGCUAACUACGUG
rnacentral:rRNA from 1 species